CACCGCGGGGAAGGUGCGCGCGGCGGCAGCAGCGGCGGGGCCGGCGGCGGGACGCGGAGGACGCCAUGGCGGCCGCCGAGCGCCGCGCCUUCGCGCACAAGAUCAACAGGACCGUGGCUGCCGAGGUGCGGAAACAGGUGUCCCGGGAACGAAGCGGCUCUCCCCACUCCAGCAGGCGCUGCAGCAGCUCCCUGGGGGUCCCACUGACUGAAGUUGUCGAGCCCCUAGACUUUGAGGAUGUGCUCCUGAGCCGGCCCCCAGAUGCAGAGCCCGGGCCACUCCGGGACCUGGUCGAGUUUCCAGUGGAUGACCUGGAGCUGCUGCUGCAGCCUCGGGAAUGCCGCACCACGGAGCCUGGGAUCCCCGAGGAUGGAAAGCUGGAUGCCCAAGUGAGGGCCGCGGUGGAGAUGUACACCGAGGACUGGAUCAUCACCCACAGGAGGUACCAGCACCUGAGUGCAGUGUACAGCCCCAUCACUGCAGAGACACAGCGAGAGCGGCAGAAGGGCCUCACCCGGCAGGUCUUCGAGCAGGAUGCUUCUGGGGAUGAGAGGUCUGGCCCAGAAGACUCGGAUGACCCCCGGCACUCCUCAGGCUCCCCAGAUGACACCCCACGGAGCAGUGGCGCCUCUGGCAUCUUUGACCUGAGGAACUUGGCGGCCGACUCCUUGCUGCCCUCACUGCUGGAGCGUGCGGCCCCAGAGGACGUGGACCGGCGCAAUGAGGCUCUGCGACGGCAGCACCGGCCCCGCGCCCUGCUCACCCUCUACCCAGCACCUGAUGAGGACGAGGCUGUGGAACGCUGCAGCCGCCCGGAGCCACCCCGAGAACACUUCGGACAACGGAUCCUGGUCAAGUGUCUGUCGCUUAAGUUCGAGAUCGAAAUCGAGCCCAUCUUUGGCAUCUUAGCCCUGUAUGAUGUUCGGGAAAAAAAGAAGAUCUCAGAGAACUUCUACUUCGACCUGAACUCAGAAUCCAUGAAGGGGCUGCUGCGGGCCCAUGGCACCCACCCUGCCAUUUCCACCUUGGCCCGCUCUGCCAUCUUCUCUGUGACCUACCCCUCGCCCGACAUCUUCCUGGUCAUCAAGCUGGAGAAGGUGCUGCAGCAGGGGGACAUCAGCGAGUGCUGUGAACCCUACAUGGUGAUGAAGGAGGCAGACACUGCCAAGAACAAAGAGAAAUUGGAGAAGCUGCGCCUGGCGGCUGAACAGUUCUGCACCCGCCUCGGCCGCUACCGCAUGCCCUUCGCCUGGACAGCAGUGCACCUUGCUAACAUCGUGAGCAGUGCGGGCCAAUCUGACCGUGACUCGGACUCAGAGGGCGAGCGCCGACCCGCCUGGACUGACCGCCGCCGUCGGGGGCCUCAGGACCGGACAAGUAGCGGGGACGACACUUGCAGCUUCUCUGGCUUCCGCCCUGCCACCCUAACUGUCACCAAUUUCUUUAAGCAGGAGGCGGAGCGGCUCAGUGAUGAAGACCUUUUCAAGUUUCUGGCUGACAUGCGGCGCCCAACAUCUCUGCUGCGGCGGCUGCGGCCUGUGACCGCCCAGCUCAAGAUCGACAUCUCCCCGGCCCCUGAGAACCCUCACUUCUGCCUCUCCCCGGAGCUGCUUCAUGUCAAGCCCUAUCCAGACCCCAGGGGCCGGCCCACCAAGGAGAUCCUGGAGUUUCCAGCCCGUGAGGUCUACGCCCCCCAUACCAGCUACAGGAACCUGCUGUACGUGUACCCGCACAGCCUCAACUUCAGCAGUCGCCAGGGCUCCGUGCGAAACCUCACCGUGCGAGUGCAGUACAUGGCAGGCGAGGACCCCAGCCAGGCCCUGCCGGUCAUCUUUGGCAAAUCCAGCUGCAGUGAAUUCACCCGCGAGGCCUUCACCCCCGUGGUCUACCAUAACAAAUCCCCUGAGUUCUACGAGGAGUUCAAGCUGCGGCUUCCGGCCUGCGUGACAGAGAACCACCACCUGCUCUUCACCUUCUACCACGUCAGCUGCCAGCCCCGGCCAGGCACGGCCCUGGAGACUCCUGUGGGCUUUACUUGGAUCCCGCUGCUGCAGCACGGCCGCCUGAGGACCGGUCCCUUCUGCCUCCCUGUGUCCGUGGACCAGCCUCCGCCCAGCUACUCCGUGCUCACACCGGACGUGGCGCUGCCGGGCAUGCGCUGGGUGGAUGGCCACAAGGGCGUGUUCAGCGUGGAGCUCACAGCUGUGUCCUCUGUGCACCCUCAGGACCCCCACCUGGAUAAAUUCUUCACCCUGGUGCAUGUCUUGGAGGAGGGGGCCUUUCCAUUCCGGCUCAAGGAUGCCGUGCUGAGCGAGGGCACAGUGGAGCAGGAGCUGCGGGCCAGCCUGGCAGCCUUGCGCCUUGCCAGCCCCGAGCCCCUUGUCGCCUUCUCCCACCAUGUGCUGGACAAGCUCGUGCGUCUGGUUGUGCGACCCCCUGUCAUCGGUGGCCAGAUCGUGAAUCUGGGUCGUGGAGCCUUUGAAGCAAUGGCCCAUGUCGUCAGCCUCGUUCACCGGAGCCUGGAGGCUGCCCAGGAUGCCCGUGGUCACUGCCCACUGCUGGCUGCCUAUGUCUAUUAUGCCUUCCGACUGCCUGGCACAGAGCCCAGCCUCAUGGGAGGGGCCCCUCCAGUGACAGUGCAGCCUGCCACGCUGGCCCGUGGCCCUGGCCGCCCCGCAAGCCUCUACCUGGCCCGCUCGAAAAGCAUCAGCAGCAGCAACCCCGACCUGGCUGUGGCCCCUGGCUCUGUGGAUGAUGAGGUCUCCCGCAUCCUGGCUACCAAGGGUAUCGACCGUUCACACUCCUGGGUGAAUUCUGCUUAUGCUCCAGGAGGCAGCAAGGCUGUGCUGCGACGGGCACCCCCUUACUGUGGGGCCGACCCCAGACAGGCCAUCGACCGCAGCUCUAGCCGAACCUCUUCCUACCUCGAGGGCUCCUGCUCGGCCCCACCAGCCACCCAGCCAAGACCCACUGUGCAGAAGCUGCUUCAUGAGGAGCUGGCCCUGCAGUGGGUGGUCAGUGGCAGUGCCGUGCGCGAGGCCGUCCUGCAGCAUGCCUGGUUCUUCUUCCAGCUCAUGGUGAAAAGCAUGGCACUGCACCUGCUUCUAGGCCAGAGACUGGACACACCCCGCAAGCUUCGCUUCCCUGGGCGCUUCCUGGAUGACAUCGCAGCUCUGGUGGGCUCUGUAGGCCUGGAGGUCAUCACCCGCAUCCACAAGGAUGCGGAGCUGGCCGAGCGCCUCAACGCCAGCCUGGCCUUCUUCCUCAGUGAUCUUCUGUCCCUGGUGGACCGCGGCUUCGUCUUCAGCCUGGUCCGGGCUCACUACAAGCAGGUGGCCACACGGCUGCAGUCGGCCCCCAACCCGGCGGUGCUGCUGACCCUGCGCAUGGACUUCACCCGCAUCCUGUGCAACCACGAGCACUACGUGACCCUCAAUCUCCCCUGCUGCCCCCUAUCCCCCCCGGCCUCGCCCUCGCCCUCCGUAUCCUCCACUACCUCCCAGAGCUCCACCUUCUCCAGCCAGGCCCCAGACCCCAAGGUGAUCAGCAUGUUUGAGCUGAGUGGGCCAUUCCGGCAGCAGCACUUCCUGGCUGGGCUCCUGCUGACGGAACUGGCUCUGGCCCUGGAACCUGAGGCCGAGGGGGCAUCCCUGCUGCACAAGAAGGCCAUCAGUGCUGUCCACAGUCUGCUCUGUGGCCAUGAUGCUGACCCCCGCUAUGCCGAGGCCACCGUGAGAGCCCGUGUGGCCGAGCUCUAUCUGCCACUGCUGUCACUUGCACGAGACACACUGCCACGGCUGCACGACUUUGCUGAGAGCUCAGGUCAACGAUCAAGACUAGCCUCUAUGCUUGACUCAGAUACAGAAGGGGAAGGGGACAUGGGAGGCACCAUCAACCCCUCAGUGGCCAUGGCCAUCGCUGGUGGCCCCCUGGCCCCUGGCUCCCGGGCCAGCAUCUCCCAGGGUCCAGCGACGGCUGCUCGCUCAGGCUGUGCCCUCUCUGCCGAGUCCAGCCGGACCUUGCUGGUGUGCGUGCUCUGGGUCCUGAAAAAUGCUGAGCCAGCCCUGCUGCAGCGCUGGGCUGCAGACCUGGCCCUCCCUCAGCUGGGUCGUCUCCUGGACCUGCUAUACCUCUGCCUGGCUGCCUUUGAAUACAAGGGGAAAAAGGCCUUUGAACGUAUCAACAGCCUCACAUUCAAGAAAUCACUGGACAUGAAGGCCCGGCUGGAGGAAGCUAUCUUGGGUACCAUUGGAGCCCGACAGGAGAUGGUGCGACGGAGCCGGGAGAGGAGCCCGUUCGGGAACCAGGAGAAUGUACGCUGGAGGAAGAGUGUCACCCACUGGAGACAAACCUCAGAUCGUGUGGACAAAACCAAGGAUGAAAUGGAACAUGAGGCCUUGGUGGAUGGGAACCUGGCAACUGAGGCAAGCCUGGUGGUUCUGGAUACACUGGAGAUCAUCGUGCAGACGGUGAUGCUGUCAGAGGCCCGGGAGAGUGUCUUGGGAGCAAUACUGAAGGUUGUGUUGUACAGUCUGGGCAGUGCCCAGAGUGCUCUUUUCUUGCAGCACGGCCUGGCCACACAACGGGCCCUGGUGUCCAAGUUCCCAGAGCUGCUGUUUGAAGAGGACACGGAGCUGUGUGCUGACCUCUGCCUGAGGCUCCUGCGACACUGUGGCAGCCGCAUCAGCGCCAUCCGCACACACGCCAGCGCCUCCCUCUACCUCCUCAUGCGCCAGAAUUUCGAGAUUGGCAACAACUUUGCCCGUGUGAAGAUGCAAGUGACCAUGUCGCUCUCGUCACUGGUGGGGACAACACAGAACUUCAGUGAAGAGCACCUGCGACGUUCACUCAAGACCAUCCUCACCUAUGCCGAGGAGGACGUGGGGCUGCGGGACAGCACCUUUGCCGAGCAGGUCCAAGACCUGAUGUUCAACUUGCACAUGAUCUUGACCGACACGGUGAAAAUGAAGGAGCAUCAGGAGGACCCCGAGAUGCUCAUUGACCUCAUGUACAGGAUCGCACGGGGCUACCAGGGCUCCCCGGACCUGCGGCUGACAUGGCUGCAGAACAUGGCGGGGAAGCACGCAGAGCUGGGCAACCACGCGGAGGCCGCACAGUGCAUGGUACAUGCAGCUGCCCUCGUGGCAGAGUACCUCGCUCUGCUGGAGGACAGCCGCCACCUGCCCGUGGGCUGCGUUUCCUUCCAGAACAUCUCAUCCAACGUGCUGGAGGAGUCCGCCAUCUCCGACGACAUCCUGUCCCCCGAUGAGGAGGGCUUCUGUUCCGGGAAGCACUUCACCGAGCUGGGGCUGGUGGGGCUGCUGGAACAGGCAGCCGCCUACUUCACCAUGGGCGGGCUCUAUGAGGCGGUAAAUGAGGUCUACAAGACCCUUAUCCCCAUCCUGGAAGCCCACCGGGACUACAAGAAGCUGGCUGCUGUGCACGGCAAAUUGCAGGAGGCCUUCACCAAGAUCAUGCACCAGAGCUCAGGCUGGGAGGUGAGUGCCCACCUGCUUCUGGGGCCCCCAGGACGACUGGUCAGCAGUGGUCAGGGACCACCAGGGGGCGCUGGAGGAGCGCUGCUGCUGCUUGGCCACAGGGGCUCAGUGGGCGGUGACGCACCCCCACUGCUUCCCCUCAGGUCCCCCCCUCCCUGCCCCAGAUCUCCGGGGCAGCCUGUGACUCACCCAGCUGGGAGCUCUCCAGAGACACCCCUCCCUCAGGCAGGGCCUUGGUCACUGCCUGGGAGGGGGGGGGGGCCUCUGACUCUCUCCCUCUUUUCUUUUUGUCUCUGUCUCUUUGUGUCUCUAGGUCUCUUUGCCUUCAUCUCUCCCUGUCUCUCUCUCUCUCCUUAAUCACUCUCUCUGUGUCUCUCUCUGCGUCUGUGUCUCUCACUGUCUCCCCAACUUCCCCCAGGAUCUCUGCUCCUCAUUGCCAUUUAGUGUUCCCCCUCUCCCUCCUCUCCCCAACUUGGGUCUAUUUUUAGGCAUCUCCUAGUUUGGGGAGGAUUUUCUGGCCGAAGAUGGCAGGAACCCAGAGCCAAGGCGAGAAGGCUGGGGGGGCGGGCAGGACAGCCAGCUUCCCUCCCUCCCCGGAUCUCCCAUCUAUGCCCAUGGAACAGUUCUCAUGCGGCCACACAAGCAGGACCCUGGGGGUUGGGGGGCUCUGACCUCUGACCUCUCCCAUGACUUUGUCUCUCUGCCCCCUGCUCCCCGCCUCCAUCUCCUGGUGCUUGCCCCACCCUGCAUGGAUCUGCUUUGCCCCAGCGCGUAUUCGGGACGUAUUUCCGCGUUGGCUUCUACGGCGCCCGCUUCGGUGACCUGGAUGAGCAGGAGUUUGUGUACAAGGAGCCAUCCAUCACAAAGCUGGCAGAAAUCUCACACCGGCUGGAGGAGUUCUACACAGAGCGGUUCGGGGAAGACGUGGUUGAGAUCAUCAAAGAUUCUAACCCUGUGGACAAAACCAAACUGGACCCACAGAAGGCGUACAUCCAGAUCACAUACGUGGAGCCGCACUUCGACACCUAUGAGCUCAAGGACCGGGUGACCUACUUCGACCGCAACUACGGUCUGCGAACCUUUCUGUUCUGCACACCCUUCACGCCAGACGGGCGAGCGCACGGGGAGCUGCCGGAACAGCACAAGCGCAAGACACUGCUCAGUACAGACCACGCCUUCCCCUACAUCAAGACGCGCAUCCGCGUGUGCCACCGCGAGGAGUGCUGACACCAGUGGAAGUGGCCAUUGAGGACAUGCAGAAGAAGACUCGGGAGCUGGCCUUCGCCACUGAGCAGGACCCGCCAGAUGCCAAGAUGCUGCAGAUGGUGCUGCAGGGCUCCGUGGGGCCCACUGUGAACCAGGGUCCCCUGGAGGUGGCUCAGGUGUUUUUGGCUGAGAUCCCCGAAGACCCCAAGCUCUUCAGGCAUCACAACAAGCUGCGGCUCUGUUUCAAGGACUUUUGCAAGAAGUGCGAGGAUGCACUGCGGAAGAACAAAGCCCUGAUUGGGCCAGACCAGAAGGAGUACCACCGUGAGCUAGAGCGCAACUACUCCCGCCUUCGGGAGGCUCUGCAGCCCCUGCUCACCCAGCGCCUUCCCCAGCUGCUGGCACCGACCACAGCCAGUAGCCUCAGGAACUCCUUGAACAGAGCCAGUUUCCGGAAGGCUGAUGUCUGAACCCACAGGGCCUGAAGCCACACGCCAGAGGAACCAGCAGCCUGGCCUCAGUUGUCUGUGCCUUCCUGAGAGUCUCCCCCCACUGCCCACUUAGCCCUGGGUGACCACACUGCACAUGGGGCUGGGCCCUCUGUUCCUCUGUCCUCAUCUGUGUGCACUGAUGCUCCUUACCUUUUCUAAUUUAAAAUGGUUUUUAUAAACA